AACGAACGCUGGCGGCAUGCCUAACACAUGCAAGUCGAACGAUACCUUCGGGUCUAGUGGCGCACGGGUGCGUAACGCGUGGGAACCUGCCCUUAGGUUCGGAAUAACUCCCCGAAAGGGGUGCUAAUACCGGAUAAUGUCUUCUGACCAAAGAUUUAUCGCCUUUGGAUGGUCCCGCGUUGGAUUAGCUAGUUGGUAGGGUAAAAGCCUACCAAGGCGACGAUACAUAGCUGGUCUGAGAGGAUGAUCAGACACACUGGGACUGAGACACGGCCCAGACUCCUACGGGAAGCAGCAGUGCGGAAUAUAGGACAAUGGGCGAAAGCAUGAUCCCGCAAUGCCGCGUGAGUGAUGAAGGCCUUAGCGUUGUAAAGCUCUUUUACACGGGAUGAUAAUGACAGUACCGGGAGAAUAAGCUCCGGCUAACUACGUG
rnacentral:rRNA from 1 species